GAUGAAGAACGCAGCGAAAUGCGAUAAGUAGUGUGAAUUGCAGAAUUCAGUGAAUCAUCGAAUCUUUGAACGCACAUUGCGCCCUUUGGUAUUCCUUAGGGCAUGCCUGUUCGAGCGUCAUUUAAACCUUCGAGCUAAGCUUGGUGUUGGGUGACUGUCCGCUUCACUGCGGACUCGCCUCAAAAUUAUUGGCGGCCGGUACAUUGGCUUCGAGCGCAGCAGAAACGCGAACUCGGGCCCGUCGUAUUGGCUCCCAGAAGCUAUCUUCACAAUUUUGACCUCGGAUCAGGUAGGGAUACCCGCUGAACUUAAGCAUAUCAAUAAGCGGAGGA
rnacentral:misc_RNA from 1 species